CACCUAAAAGACUCAAAACUACUAGACAAGAUAAGAAAGUAAAAGAAAACAUGAAAACAGACAAAAAAUAUAAAAAGUCACUUGAAACAAGCUCCCAAAUGCUAUGGUCCUGGGGUAUCUUUCAUGCUCGAGCUCUGGUACAUGGAUCCAUACCUGAAUGAGAAAAAUAAGACCGAAUAAAGUUAGUAACUCGAGAUAUUAUGUGAGCCAUAACACCUCCUAUUAGGCACAUGCAAGACACAAGUGGGGCUAUUUCUACAAAAUGGCUAACGAGGCCAAAAGGUGACUAGAAGUGAAAACUCAAUUAGGACGACCUCUAAAACAUGAAAACACCUCACGAAGGCCCAUAAACUCUCAGGAAUCGCGGUCCCUAAAAUUGCUUUGUGAAAAUGACCCCACUUUGCGAAAAUGGCCUAUGUGGCCGAAAAAUGGCUAAGCAUGCAAAUUCAACAGGAAUAAACCUUAGACUGAUAGAACAUCAUGUUGUGGACUUAGGACUCUAAGACAUAGGUUAACAAGCCACUUUGAGAAAAUAUCCCUACUUUGCAAAAACGACCGAUGUGGCCAAAAGUGGCUAGACAUGCAAGAUUUGGCUACGACCCUCGAAGCCAAGAACUUAAGACUCACUAGGAAGACCGGACCCUAUGUGGGCUGCCUACGUAUCCCGCCCCGAAAGACGAGAAUCAGGUAGGCGUAGUUCGUGAAGAUUGGAUACGGAAGAAAACUAAAAAAACAACUGAUUUGGAGAAAAUAUAUUUUUGUCUUUUUUGGAAAGUGAUGGGAAAGUGCAAAAUCUUUUUGGAUUUUUUCAUUUUCAUUUAUUUUUUUGGUCUUUUUCUUCAAAAAGUUGUGAAAGAAAAGUAUAACUAGGCCCUACUUGCUUCAUUUUUAUACUUCACCCUCUUUUCUUUCUCAUUUACCCUCAACCAUCAUUGGUCUGCCAAAUGACCCCUUUACCCUUAAAGAAUGCAGCAUGUAGCACAUAGGGAUGAUUAAAUAUCUUUUGUGGCCACAGGCCCAUUUUGACAAAAUUUGGAUAGGCCUCCUAUAAAGGGACAUGGCGCCCGGGACCGAGCCCUGUUAGGUCUAAAUGAUAUGAUGCAAAUAAGAAUGACCUAAAGGCUGACCUAAGUUUAGGGUUCACUAGACAAGGCAAUUCGGGGGAGCGUAUGGUCGAUGGUGGCUGCUCAAGCUUUCCACCCACUCCAUACGUCCGAUGCCCCCCUCCCCCCCUAAAAUAAGGGUGACUCAACAAAGAGUUCGUGUACGCGACGUGCACUACGAGACUUGUUGCAGAAAGAAUUGACCGGGUAAUGCAUAUGGUGACAGUUAUAAAGCAGUAACCAAUAAAGAAAAAAAAUUGUAAACACAUAAAUAACUAGCAAAUAAUAAAAUGGCAUAAACAAAAUAAAAAUCACAUAAAGUAUAACAUAAAAACCUCAACCGAAUAUUAUAAAAAGCCAAUAAGAUUAAGUACCAGCUCGAACCUGCAACUCCCAGCAGAGUCGCUAAAGCUAUCACACCCUUUUUUUUUUCACCUCACUAACCCCACUAUAAAAUAAUAAAACGAUUUUGAAAGCUCAAAAGGGUUUUCAAGUCCUAAAAGUGACAAAGGAUUGUGUUUUAAAGGAUUUUCAGAGUCGCCACCUGACAUUUGAUUUCGGUGUGCCAGGUCACCAUUUUUUAAAUAACAAUUUUCCUUCAAAAUACAUUUUUACUCUUAAACCACGUACACCAGAGAUUCUAGGUAAGGGAUUUCACUUGACUCGGGGAGAAGGUGUUAGGCAUUCCCCGAGUCCCAUGAAAGUCACGGUUGCGUACUCAAUCUAGUUGGCUUUUAAAAUAUUUAAAUUGAGGUAAAAAAACACAGAGAAAGGAAAAUAAACACACAAGAGGCUUGAGGUUGUCCCCACCUAAUAAAAGGAAUAAAAAUAAAAUAAAAUACUUAAGUUCUAUUCUACGCUUCCUCGCAUCAUCCAGUCUCUGGCCUUCAUUUACAUGUACUUCGGGGCAUUCACCGGUUAAAAUAUUUACAAACUCUUUGGGACAUAUCCCAAAAUAUAAACUAAAGGGAACGACCUCUUACCUCAAAUGAAAUAAAAAGACAAGACCUAAAGUUUGCCUACACGGGUGUGGUCAGCCUAAGUAUGCUCCUAACGAUCAAAUGAGUAUAGCGAAAUAAAGAACUAAUAGAAAUGAUCCAAAGCUCAAAUUGUUAUAACUUUUUCAAUUCUCUGCCAUGACAAUUUUGUCUUAAGGAGUCCAAAUGUGAUUUUGCUCUUUAAAUCAGGCAAACCCCCACAGCCAAUUUAUCAAUUAAAUAACAAAAUCCAACAAACCACUAAUUUGAAGCUAUAAGUGAACUAUCAUUCUUUUCUUCCUCUUAAUCAAGUUUAAUGAAUGAUAGGCUAAUGAUCUAACAAUAAUCUUUAAAGCUAAUAAUAAAAGGAAUACGAAAGCAAUAUGAGUGCCAACCAAAUGAAUACACUGCUAAUAUCAAACGAAUGACUUCAUUUCAUCAAAAGUUAAUACACAAAAUUUUAAGAAAGGCAUGAGUAAGAAUCUGACCUUAAAACAACGAGUUUGAACUUUGAUUGUUUGAUGGCUCUAAGACUCAAAAACGAACGGGACCGCGAACAAGAUCUAAAUCCGAAAACCUCACCGGAAACCUCGUCGAACUCAGACCGGAUUGCCUCGCUACCUCCCUUUACUCAGAUCUGAGCGUCCAAGACUUUAAACUCACUAAAAUUCGACCUUUAAUGGCAGUACCUUUUGUCGAUCGAAAGUAUUUUGAAGAUAAGAGUGGAAUCGAAGUUCUGACGUGAAGUUAACAAUGGGAAGCUAAUGGAGCUAUGGAGGUUGCAUAAUAGUUUUAAUGGCUAUUUUCUGUGGAGAUCGAGUGUAGUUAGGCAGCAGCUCUUCUGAUACUAGGCAUGCUCUGUUUUCUCUCCGUCCUCCUCCCUCUCGUCACUCUCUCUGUCCGUUCCUCCGUAUAUCUCUUACACUAUUUUGUUUCUGAUUUUACCAUCCUCUUCUUCUUUUUUUGAGAAGAAGGGGUGUCAGGUGCGGUUCUCCUUCAGCUAUGUGUGUGUGUGCGUGUUUUCCGGCGGAUUUUGGUGGAAAGGGGCUGGUUUUCGGUGGACUUUGGUGGCAGUCGGCGUGGUCAAGGGAGGUGGGGGUGCGGCUCUUGUUUUUGGGGUCAGGCCUGGGCGUCGGCAGUAGGUAGGUAAGGGCGAAGGCGGCAUAGACGGAAUGGAGAUGAGGUGGGAUGGUUGUUGGCUUUUCCAGGGUUCCUAGGUUUUGAUGAUAUUAGCUUUAUAUAUGGUAUGAAGGAAAUAUCUUGGCUAUUGGAUUAAACGGAUGGAAGGCCAAGAUUGAAUCACUUAAACUGAUGGGUCCAAUGGAUUUGAUGGGCGUGGGUCGCGGGUCAUGGGUUAAAAAUGGUUUGAGGGAUUGGGCUGGUUUAAUUGGGUAAGGGAUCCGAAUUGGGCUAUCUCAAGGUUGGGCUUUUAAAAUGAUGAAAUUCAUUAACUAAAAACCUAAGUUUUCCUUCUUUAAUAUAAAGUAUUUAUAAAAAUGUAAGACCACUCCUGGUUGAUUUUAAUAAACUAUUAAAAUAAAAAUAAAAAUUAAAAGCAAAACUAUUUUUGGUAUUUUCAAAGAUUAAACUAAAAUAAGGCUAAAUUAGUAUCACCAUAAAAAUACUAACUACUUAAAUAAAUACAAAUAAGAUAAAGAGUGAAACUAUUUUUUUGUUUUUAAUUUUUUAAAUGCUAAAACAACAAAAUAAAAUAUUAUAUAUACAUAUUAAAAUCCUACAAAAUUUAAUAUAAACUCAAAUAUAUAUGUAUAAAAUAUUCGACUGGCUUGAGAACGUGGCGGGUCAAAAAUUAUGUGCUUACAGCUGCCCCUCUUUGCUUGGAAACACGAAGUAUUUUUGAGCAAAGAAAUAAGCAAUGUAAUUGAUUUCUGACCCGACACUUAUUCGAAAGAAAAUAAAAAUGGAUAAAAAGAUUGUGCCCGAGCCCUGGUAUCUGAGCUGCCUACAUAUCCUCAGCUAUAAAGGAAUCAGGCCAUGUGUAGUUCAGAAGUGAUGGAGUAUGUGGAGAGGAUGAGAGAGCCGAGUGAGGUACCGUCGAGGUUCCGGUCCGCGGUUCCUGCCAUUACAUCAAAAAUAAAAAAUCAAAUAAAAAUUACAUGGAAACCACUAAAUCUUAUCUAUUGUUCUGUCUUGAAUCUUUUAUAGUCUUGUUGUGCAUCUCGAACUGUUGACUCGCAUUCUUGAGGCGAACUUCAGCUACUUUUAACAUGAAUUGACCAUAUUCUUCAGGCGGGCUCCUGUUGUUGACUUGAAGCUUGAACUAACUCUGAAAUGAACUCCCUCGUUCUUCAGGUGAGCGUCUGCUACUGACUUAAAAAUUGAAAUAACUCUGAGAUGAAUUCCCUCAUUCUCCAGGUGGACGCCUACUACUGACUUGAAAUUUGAAGUAACUCUGAAAUGAAUUCCCUCGUUCUUCAGGCGGGCUCCUGCUAUUGACUUGAAGCUUGAACUAACUCUGAAAUGAAUUCUCUCAUUCUCCAGGUGGGCGCCUGCUACUGACUUGAAAUUUGAAGUAACUCUUAAACAAAUUCCCUCGUUCUCCAGGGGGCGCCUGCUACUUCUCUGAAUUUAACCUGAAACCAAUUUCUGAGAUAUUGACCCUCGUUCUCCAGGUAGGUACCUGCAAUCGAAAACAACAAAACAAAUAAAAUUUUCUGCCCCAGUUUGCACUAGGAAGAUUUUUGAGUUGUCAGCAAAACUGUAAAUCACCUAUGCUAUUGAUGCAAUGAUGAGAGUAAAACUAAAGACUAGGCUAGGAUGUGCGUCUCCUGUGAGUAAAACCAAGAAAAUGUGACUAGCAAAUGCAUCUGCUAAGAGAAAACCUGAAUGACCCGAACUAGGAAGUGCGUCUCCUAUGAGUGAAAUCUCAAUUUAGGAAAUGCGUCUCCUAAAAGUAUAUCCUGAAAGACCCAAAUUAGGAAGUGCGUCUCCUACGGUUGAAACUUGAAUGAACCAACCUAGGAAGUGCGUCUCCAAGGGGUGAAACAUGAAUGAAUCAAAAUAGGAAGUGCGUCUCCUAGGGGUAAAAUUUGAAUGAACCAAACUAGGAAGUGCGUCUCCUAGGGAUGAACUUAAAUAACCUAAACUAGGAAGUGCGUCUCCUAGGGGUGAAAUCUCAAUUUAGGAACUAGGAAAUGCGUCUCCUAGAGAUAAAACUUGAAUGACCCAAACUAGGAAGCGCAUCUCCUAGGGGUGAAACCUUUUAACACAAAAUUAGGAAGUGCAUCUCCUAAAAAGCAUGGCCUGAAAGAUUUAAACUGACCCUAUUCUCCAGGCGGGACCCCUGAACUCAAGGAAAACUAAUGAUUACCAACCUAACGAAAUUGAAAACUGACCCUAUUCUCCAGACGGGACCCUUGAACUUUAAGAAAGCUAAAGAUUAACAACUUAAAAAUUAAAAACUAACCCUAUUCUCCAGGCGGGACUCUUGAAAUCAAGGAAAGCCAAAGAUUCCUCUCAACUAGGGAAAAUGCCUAGGAGGUGUGAUCUUCUCAAUAGCCAUUGCGUAAGCAGAAUUGGGGGCAUUACACCUGAAAAAUUCAAGCUUCCAAGCUUUGGUAUGAACAUAGCCUUCAUCCAUGUUUCAGACAAAGAAAACUUGUGAGUUUAAAACAUGGUGGUUAGUUUGUGGCCUUGACUACGAGGGAGAUUUCUCUUGCACUUGUCACGAUCAACUUGGACUUCAACUUGGAAGACAGUGCUUGUUAUCGGCCGACCGCUUUUGCGGACAACCCUUAUCACAAGAAAUAUUCCUGAUUCGUUCAAGUCCAAUACCUUAUGCCUGAUGCAUUACACUCGUCUUCUAACAUUCACCAAAUCUUUGCAUUUUACAUCAAUCCUAAAGAACAUCUAUUAUCACCAACUCAGUGCACACACUAUUCUCCUGUGUCUUAUGCCAUUUUUAUGUGCUUGCCAGACUCUGCUUUAUGUGGUUAAAAGCUGGUAGCAGAUUUUGAAGUCAUUUCUCACUUGUUUCGACAAAAAUAGACUUAAAAGGGACUCAAACAAAACAAGAGGAACAAAUUAAGGAGAAAAACGAGAAGAGACGGUAUCUAACAAGAAAAGUUUUACCCAGGAAAAAGAACAAAGUAAAAAACUAAUCGGAUUUGAAGGCCAACUCCAUUGAUCAUGACAUGCAUUUUGGAUUAAGCGGUCUGAUCUGUCAAGCGAGUCUAAUCUUCAACUCUUGUUAUGCCACUAAUUUGUGAAAUUGUGCUUCAGCGCUCCAAUUGUCCUAUGUGAUCCACAAUCCUCAGUCGACUUGUAGUGCCCUGAAGGAUUUUCACCAUCAAGCCUCUCUCAUUUUGCUCUUUUUCUCAGCUCACCGUCGCCUUACAGUGCCCGUGAGGGUUUUCACCACUAAGACUCUCUCAUUUUAUCAUUUUCUCUCUUUGUGCUGAGAACAAGGUAUUACCCAUGAUGCAGGAAGAUCAUACUUUUACCACACACUUUCUUUGGCAUCCUCAAAGAUUGGUCGGAAGGUUUUUCUUUGGACCGUAAUGUAGGCCUUUGGAUAGGGUUAAAAAGAAAGGAUGGUAUAAAGGCUCAAAACAACUAAAAUGGAAGGGGUUUUAACUUACAACUUUUGGAAUCAGAUCUAUUUGUAAAACUAAAACAUCUGCCCCAGUUUCAUUGAGUCUAGGGAAUUUUUUUGGAUUUUUAUUUUGUUGGGACCUAACCUCAGAGUAAGGCUGCCUACGUAUCCUUAAAAGGAAUCAGGUCAAAUGUAGUUCUAACACAAAGUUGGUUUAUUUUGUUGUUUUUCUUUUCCUUUUCUUUCUUUUUCUUUUUUUUCCUUUUUUUUCUUUUCUCCUUUUUUUUCUCUUUUCUUUUCUUUUUCCUUUCUAGUUCCUAACUCUACUUCUGAUUCCAAAAAAGGGGUAUGAAACAAAACAAAUUAAGGCUCAAAAGGGAUAGCAAAAGAUAAAAGUGUUUGGAUAACAGAAUAAAAUGCCUUCGUCAUACCAAACUUUAAAAAUGCCAAGUACAAAUAUGCAAUCGAAGAUAAGCAAAGAAAUCAUACAUAGUAUCUAUUGAUGGCAUCAACACAAACAAAAAGUGCCAAUGAGCAAUACCUUUGUCCCAAUGAAUGAUCCUUGCUAGUUCGAAGCAGACUUGACUCAACCUUAUCUUGAUGUGGAAGAAUGCAUUUCAAUACUGAUUGAUCUACCUCAAACUACUUGUAAGACAUUUCCUUGUUGUAUGCUCUUAUCAACCUCUUGAUUUCUCACACCAACUGCCUCAAUUUCACUCAAUUCAAGCUUCAGGUUAUCUUAGAAUGCGUGAAUCUUUACUUGUUUCCUCAAAUGCAUCUUUUUAUCAUAUUCAAAACUGUGUUUCAUUAUUCCAUGAUUAGACUGGUUUUCAAGAUCUGGCUAAAAUCUCCGCAUGAAUGUCAUGUCACUAGAACUGGCGUGAAGAGAACUAAGCACAGAAUGACACAAAAGGACAAACUGUAUUUUAUUGAGUAAAGGAUGGAAGGGUUUAACGACAAGACAAACAACCUAAAAUCCGAGUCACAACCCUAAAAUAACCCGGAUAAUAGCAACAGAACAGACAGACAAGAUUCACACAAAUAGAGGGAUGGAAGGGUUUGACUCAAUAAAACAAAUAAAAUCUGGAUCACAACCCUGAAGUAACCCAGAUAAUAGAAAAAACAUCAAAACAAGCUACCCAGAUUCCUUCCUAGUAAGGAGGGAAUGACCUUUCAAUUGCUAAGCUUGACAUUUAGCCACAAAUUUGCUCAUCAUAAUCAUCAGGGCCUUCUCCCAUUUCAAAAUCAUUAACUUUAGUCAGCAAGUUCCCGAAAGGAUUCUCAUACUCCAUGUCACCACGCAUCAUCCCCACAAAGUGUGCAUCAUCAUGUGCAGGUAAAUGAUUCUACGCGAUAUUCUGGAUGUCACUGUCCUGGAUCACAAUUCUCUCUUCUUGAAUCAUUCUUUCUAUCUCCCUUUUCAAAGCACGACAAUCUUCAAUGCUAUUCCCUUGGACAUUAGAGUGGUACAUGCACCGUACAGCAGGAUCAAAACCUUUUGCAUAUGGGUCCGGAUUAUAGCCGAGGAGCCACCGUACAGCAGGAUAAAAACCUUUUGCAUAUGGGUCCGGAGUAUAGUCGAGGAGCGGCUCAAUCAGUCCAUAAUGUUUUAACUUUUCAAACAAGCUUGUGUAGGAUUCUCUGAUUGGCGUGAAACUAUUUCUUUGCCUUUGUUCCCCUCCAUGCCCCUAUUUUCUAGGGUUGUUGGAUGCUAAAAAAUGUUAUGAAGGCAAGAGUGUAUUAUGCAGUGCUGGCGCUCGCCAUAAGGAGUAACCCGGUGGUUGGACAGAUGACCGAACGUUGUUCGGAGGAUAAUACUAAGGUGGAUUAUAUGGAGCUCGGGGAUAGGUUUGGGGUUGGGGUUGGGGUCGGGGUCGAGGCUAAGUAUAUUGGUGAGGCAGACCCGUUGGGCCAUGUCGUGAUCCUGAGACAACCAUGGCAACAUCAUCAUAUUCCUCUGACCCAGCAAGCUCCUGUGUCGUUCUGAAUUGCUUGUGUGUGGCUUUAAAGCAGAUAGCUCAUGAUCUUGCUUGACUUUAGCCCAUAUUCUACCAUUUCUCCCAUUUUUACCACAUUAUUAAAAGGCUUACCCAUAGCCGAGAUCAAAUUCCCAAAGUAAGUAGGCUCUUGAGCUUGAAGAAAGUACUCGACCAUCUCGUCUUCUUCCAUCCGGGGAUUGACUCGGGCAGCUUGCUCUCUCCAUCUGAGCCCGUAUUCCCUAAAGCUUUCAUUAGGCUUCUUUUCCAUCUUUGUGAGGGACAUGCAAUCCAGGACAAUUUCUAUAUUGUACUGAAAGUGCCGGGCAAAGGCCUGAGCCAUAUCGUCCCAUGUGUACCAUCCGAUAGCGUCUUGGCAGGUGUACCACUCUAGAGCUGCCCUACUCAGACUCUGACUAAAAUACGCCAUUAAUAAUUUUUCCUUCCCGCCGGCGCCUCUCAUCUUACUGUAGUUGCCUCUCAAAUGGGCCACGGGAUCUCCAUAUACGUCAUACAAAUCAAACUUUGGUAUCUUAAACCCAGCAUGUAGUUGGACAUCAGGAAACAAGCACAAAUCUUUGUAAGACACGCUCACUUGUCUCCCUAUCCCUUGCAUGUUUCUUAAAGACUGCUCUAAGAUUUUCACCUUCCUGGAUAUCUCAUCUUGCUCCACUAUCUUAGCAGGCUUUUCAGUUUCACCGGGAGGCUCAAAAUGAGGAACGUCAGAGUAUGGAUCCGAGACCUUGAAAGUUGGUUCUGGAGCAUAGUGUUGGGCAUCGGGGACUUUGAACACAGUCUCUCUAGAGGAUCGAGGAAGAGUAGCUGGUGGAGGAGCUACAAAAACAUGAGUGGUCAAAGGAGCGGGAUAUGAGGUGGUUUUGGGGGGUGGAGUGUGAAAAGGUUGUGGGGAGAUAUCAGCAGCAGUGGGAAUCUGGAUUUGUGACAAUGGCGGAAUAGUGAUGAGGCUUUCAGUGUAGUUAGUGGGAAACAAUGGUGGACGCCCACUAAUCUAGGCUUGGUAUAUUUCGUCCAUCUGUCCUUUCAACCUUAGGACCUCUUCUUUCAACUCAGAUUCUCAUUCAACAGUCUCCUUAGGCAGAUCAACAACACAUGUGUCCAAGUCUUUGCUAGACAUGGCUAUCUUGCUCUUUGACCUUGUGUUAUAUGGAUGACUCGCUAGAAUGCCACAAACUAACCACCUUCUGUUAUGAUAACAAUGAAAGUACCAAAGAAGAUCAAAACAAAGACAACAUGUUAGCGUUAGAGCAUUUAUCAUAUAGAAAUAUCACAUUGCGUGCAAUGUACCUAGCAACAAUUAACGGUUCUAAAAUAACUUCGAGGGUCACAAGGUCAUUUGGCAUUAUCCAAAUUUUGUUCAUUUCAAUCUUCUCUUUCCUUUCUUUUCUAGAACUUCUUGGCUUGCUCAUUUUCCUUCCUCUCUUUUCUUUCUUAUUAUCACUAUUUUCUUUCUCUCACCCCUCACGUCCCAAAACUUCAUUCUCUUUUUUUCUUUUUUUUUUUAAUAAUGAUUUGAUCAAACUCUAUGUAGGUUGCUUGCGUAUCAUGUUCCACAUGAAUCAGACCAAGCGUAGUUCUGGAAAAGUAAUGGAUAAAAUAAACUAAAAACAAAAAACUUUUUGGAUUUUUCAUUUAUAACUAUUUUUUUUUCAAAUACAAAUGUGAAGUACGAUGAAAAAAGACUCGAUAAACUCUUACACCACCUAAAAGACUCAAAACUACUAGACAAGACAAGAAAGUAAAAGAAAACAUGAAAAUAGACAAAAAAAUAUAAAAAGUCACUUGAAACAAGCUCCCAAAUGCGAUGGCCCUGGGGUAUCUGUCAUGCUCGAGCUCUGGUACAUGGAUCCAUACCUGAAUGAAAAAAAUAAGACCAAAUAAAGUUAGUGACUCGAGACACUAUGUGAGCCAUAACACCUCCUAUUAGGCACAUGCAAGAUGCGAGUGGGGCUAUUUCUACAAAAUGGCUAACGAGGCCAAAAGGUGACUAGAAGUGAAAACUCAAUUAGGACGACCUCUAAAAUAUGGAAACACCUCACGAAGGCCCAUAAACUCUCAGAAAUCGCGGUCCCUAAAAUUGCUUUGUGAAAAUGACCCAACUUUGCGAAAAUGGCCUAUGUGGCCGAAAAAUGGCUAAGCAUGCAAAUUCAACAGGAAUGAACCUUAGACUGAUAGAACAUCAUGUUGUGGACUUAGGACUCUAAGACAUAGGUUAACAAGCCACUUUGAGAAAAUAGCCCUAUUUUACAAAAACGGCCGAUGUGGUCAAAAGUGGCUAGACAUGCAAGAUUUGGCUAUGACCCUCGAAGACAAGAACUUAAGACUCACUAGGAAGACCGGACCCUAUGUGGGCUGCCUACGUAUCCCGACCCGAAAGACGAGAACCAGUUAUGCGUAGUUCGUGAAGAUUGGAUACGGAAGAAAACUAAAAAAAUAACUAAUUUGGAGAAAACAUAUUUUUGUCUUUUUUGGGAAAUGAUGGGAAAGUGCAAAAUCUUUUUGAAUUUUUUCAUUUUCAUUUUUUUAUUUUUUGGUCUUUUCUUGAAAAGGUUGUGAAAGAAAAGUAUAACUGGGCCCUACUUGCUUCAUUUUUAUACUUCACCUUAUUUUCUUUCUCAUUUACCCUCAACCAACAUUGGCCUGUCAAAUGACCCCUUUAUCCUUAAAGAAUGCAGCAUGUAGCACUUAGGGAUGAUUAAAUAUCUUUUGUGGCCGCGAGCCCAUGUUGACAAAAUUUGGAUAGGCCUCCUACAAAGGGAUACGGCACCUGGGACCAAGCCCUGCUAGGUCUAAAUGAUAUGAUGCAAAUAAGAAUGACCUAAAGGCUGACCAAAGUUUAGGGUUCACUAGACAAGGCAAUUCGGGGGAGCGUAUGGUCGAUGGUGGCUGCUCAAGCUUUCCACCCACUCCAUACGUUCGUGUACGCGACGUGCACUAUGAGACUUGUUGCAGAAAGAAUUGACCGGGUAAUGCAUAUGAUGACAGUUAUAAAGCAGUAACACAUAAAUAAAAAAAAUUGUAAACACAUAAACAGCUAGCAAAUAAUAAAAUGGCAUAAACAAAAUAAAAAUCACAUAAAGUAAAACAUAAAAACCUCAACCGAAUAUUCUAAAAAGCCAACAAGAUCAAGUACCAGCUCGAACCUGCAACUCCCCCGCAGAGUCGCUAAAGCUAUCACACCCUUUUUUUUUCACCUCACUAACCCCACUAUAAAAUAAUAAAACGAUUUUGAAAGCUCAAAAGGGUUUUCAAGUCCUAAAAGUGACAAAGGAUUGUGUUUUAAAGGAUUUUCAGAGUCGCCACCUGACAUUUGAUUUCGGUGUGCCAGGUCACUAUUUUUUAAAUAACAAUUUUCCUUCAAAACAUAUUUUGACUCUUAAACCAAUUACACCAGAAAUUCUAGGUAAGGGAGUUCACUUGACUCGGGGAGAAGGUGUUAGGCAUUCCCCGAGUCCCGUGAAAGUCACGGUUGCGUACUCGAUCUAGUUGGCUUUUAAAAUAUUCAAAUUGAGGUAAAAAAAUAUAGAGAAAGGAAAAUAAACACACAAGAGGCUUGAGGUCGUCCCCACCUAAUAAAAGGAAUAAAAAUAAAAUAAAAUACUAAAGUUCUAUUCUACGCUUCCACGCAUCAUCCAGUCUCUGGCCUUCAUUUACAUGUACUUCGGGGCAUUCUCCGGGUAAAAUUUUUACAAACUCUUCGAGAUAUUUUCCGAAAUAUAAACUAAAGGGAACGACCUCUUACCUCGAAUGAAAUAAAAGACAAGACCUAAAGUUUGCCUACCCGGAUGUGGUCGGCCUAAGCAUGCUCCUAACGAUCAAAUGGGUAUAGCGAAAUAAAGAACUAAUAGAAAUGAUCCAAAGCUCAAAUUGUUUUAACUUUUUCAAUUCUCUGCCAUGACAAUUUUGCCUUAAGGAGUCCAAAUGUGAUUUUGCUCUUUAAAUCAGGCAAACCCCCACGGCCAAUUUAUCAAUUAAACGACAAAAUCCAACAAACCACUAAUUUUAAGCUAUAAGUGAACUAUCAUUCUUUUCUUCCUCUUAAUCAAGUUUAAUGAAUGAUAGGCUAAUGAUCUAACAAUAAUCCUUAAAGCUAAUAAUAAAAGGAAUAUGAAAGCAAUAUGAGUGCCAACCAAAUUAAUACACUGCUUUUGUUUGAUUUCAUCAAAAGUUAAUACACAGAAUUUUAAGAAAGGCAUGAGUAAGAAUCUGACCUUAAAACAACGAGUUUGAACUUUGAUUGCUUGAUGGCUCUAAGACUCAAAAACGAACGGGACCGCGAACAAGAUCUAAACCGAAAACCCUCGCUGGAAACCUCGUCGAACUCUGACCGAAUUGCCUCGCUACCUCCCUUUACUCAGAUCUGAGCGUCCGAGACCUUAAACUCACUGAAAUUCGACCUUUAAUGGUAGUACCUUUUGUCGAUCGAAAGAGUUUUGAAGAUAAGAGUGGAAUCGGAGUUCUGAUGUGAAGUUAACAAUGGGAAGUUAAUGGAGCUAUGGAGGUUGCAUAAUAGUUUUAAUGGCUAUUUUCUAUGGAGAUCGAGUGUAGUUAGGCGGCGGCUCUUCUGAUACUAGGCAUGCUCUGUUUUUUCUCCGUCCUCCUCCCUCUCGUCACUCUCUCUGUCUGCUUCUCCGUAUAUCUCUUACUCUAUUUUGUUUCUGAUUUUACCAUCCUCUU
rnacentral:lncRNA from 1 species